UGAUCAUGGCUCAGAUUGAACGCUGGCGGCAGGCCUAACACAUGCAAGUCGGGCGGAAACGAUGAGAGCUUGCUCUCAGGCGUCGAGCGGCGGACGGGUGAGUAACGCGUGGGAAUCUACCUAGUAGCGGGGGAUAGCCCGGAGAAAUCCGGAUUAAUACCGCAUACGCACGGGGGAAAGGCCGGGAUCUUCGGACCGGUCACUAUUAGAUGAGCCCGCGUUGGAUUAGCUAGUUGGUGGGGUAAAGGCCUACCAAGGCAACGAUCCAUAGCUGGUCUGAGAGGAUGAUCAGCCACACUGGGACUGAGACACGGCCCAGACUCCUACGGGAGGCAGCAGUGGGGAAUAUUGCACAAUGGAGGAAACUCUGAUGCAGCCAUGCCGCGUGUGUGAAGAAGGCUUUCGGGUUGUAAAGCACUUUCAGUGGGGAGGAAAGGGUUGUAGUUAAUAGCUGCAAUCUGUGACGUUACCCACAGAAGAAGCACCGGCUAACUCCGUGCCAGCAGCCGCGGUAAUACGGAGGGUGCGAGCGUUAAUCGGAAUUACUGGGCGUAAAGCGCACGCAGGCGGUUUGUUAAGCUAGAUGUGAAAGCCCCGGGCUCAACCUGGGAGGGUCAUUUAGAACUGGCAGACUAGAGUCUUGGAGAGGGGAGUGGAAUUCCAGGUGUAGCGGUGAAAUGCGUAGAUAUCUGGAGGAACAUCAGUGGCGAAGGCGACUCCCUGGCCAAAGACUGACGCUCAUGUGCGAAAGUGUGGGUAGCGAACAGGAUUAGAUACCCUGUUAGUCCACACCGUAAACGAUGUCUACUAGCUGUGUGAGGAUUUAAUCCAUGCGUAGCGAAGCUAACGCGAUAAGUAGACCGCCUGGGGAGUACGGACGCAAGUUUAAAACUCAAAUGAAUUGACGGGGGCCCGCACAAGCGGUGGAGCAUGUGGUUUAAUUCGAUGCAACGCGAAGAACCUUACCAAUCCUUGACAUCCAGAGAAGCUAGAAGAGAUUUUAGUGUGCCUUCGGGAACUCUGAGACAGGUGCUGCAUGGCUGUCGUCAGCUCGUGUUGUGAAAUGUUGGGUUAAGUCCCGUAACGAGCGCAACCCCUAUCCUUAGUUACCAGCGAUUCGGUCGGGAACUCUAGGGAGACUGCCGGUGACAAACCGGAGGAAGGUGGGGACGACGUCAAGUCAUCAUGGCCCUUACGGAUUGGGCUACACACGUGCUACAAUGGGGUAUACAGAGGGUUGCGAAGCCGCGAGGGUAUGCGAAUCUCAUAAAGUCUGUCGUAGUCCGGAUCGGAGUCUGCAACUCGACUCCGUGAAGUUGGAAUCGCUAGUAAUCGUGGAUCAGAAUGCCACGGUGAAUACGUUCCCGGGCCUUGUACACACCGCCCGUCACACCAUGGGAGUGGGAUGCAAAAGAAGUAGGUAGCUUAACAUUGGGCGCUUACCACUUUGUGGGUCAUGACUGGGGUGAAGUCGUAACAAGGUA
rnacentral:rRNA from 1 species